rnacentral:rRNA from 1 species
AACGAACGCUGGCGGCAUGCCUAACACAUGCAAGUCGAACGAGGCCUUCGGGUCUAGUGGCGCACGGGUGCGUAACGCGUGGGAACCUGCCCUUAGGUUCGGAAUAACUCCCCGAAAGGGGUGCUAAUACCGGAUAAUGUCUUCGGACCAAAGAUUUAUCGCCUUUGGAUGGGCCCGCGUUGGAUUAGCUAGUUGGUAGGGUAAAAGCCUACUAAGGCGACGAUCCAUAGCUGGUCUGAGAGGAUGAUCAGCCACACUGGGACUGAGACACGGCCCAGACUCCUACGGGAGGCGGCAGUGGGGAAUAUUGGACAAUGGGCGAAAGCCUGAUCCAGCAAUGCCGCGUGAGUGAUGAAGGCCUUAGGGUUGUAAAGCUCUUUUACCCGGGAUGAUAAUGACAGUACCGGGAGAAUAAGCUCCGGCUAACUCCGUG